UACGUAGGGCGCAAGCGUUGUCCGGAAUUAUUGGGCGUAAAGAGCUCGUAGGCGGUCUGUUGCGUCCGCUGUGAAAACUCGGGGCUUAACCCCGAGCCUGCAGUGGAUACGGGCAGACUAGAGGUAGGUAGGGGAGAAUGGAAUUCCCGGUGUAGCGGUGAAAUGCGCAGAUAUCGGGAAGAACACCCGUGGCGAAGGCGGUUCUCUGGGACGGUACUGACGCUGAGACGCGAAAGCGUGGGGAGCGAACAGG
rnacentral:rRNA from 1 species